GCCUGGGUGGUUCAGUUGGUUAAGCGUCUGACUUUAGCUCAGGUCAUGAUCUCACAGUUCAUGGGUUCGAACCCCGUGUUGGGCU
rfam:Felis catus isolate Cinnamon breed Abyssinian chromosome B1, whole genome shotgun sequence.